rnacentral:lncRNA from 1 species
CAUUUCACACAUAUGCACACCGCGAGAUUUGCAAGUGAUAUCGCGACACAUCUAAUGUACACGAUACGAAAUACACCAGUGCAUUCAAAUUGUGUUUUCCAGAUAAUUCGGUUCCUGGAGAUUCCUUUGUAUCGCGGGUAUUGUUGCGUUUGCCACACUCUAAUCGGCUUCUGACUUUAGCAUCUCCUGUAAAAUACCAUGGGGUCCGAUAGCUCCUCAGACACCCAUACCUAACGCUGUAUUAAUGCCGUCCGCGAUGUCAUUGUUUCCAGCCGCAUUCAGCUUUUGUUUCCAACCACAGUCCGUUGAAAUGUCACCGUGAAUAUUGCUGUGUUGACGAUUCUCGCUGUCAGUGAACGGACGUUUGGAGUGAAAAUUGAAAUUUGCAUGGUCCUUCAAAAGACGAUACAGAAAUGAACGAUUGGUAUAUAAUAACAUAUUAAAUAAAAUCAACUAGACGCUGGAAAAUUUGAAAUAUAAGGUGCGUAUCGUAUGACAUUCGCGAUCCUGCCUAGUUCACGAUAAGAUGCGCGGUGAAUGUCGUUCACAUUGCCUUGUGUGCGUUUACCUGUCAACACGAAAUUUCGAGGAGGUGAUUUGACAUUUCGUCGCAACGUUUUUAAAUCGCAAUGCAACGACGAUCGAAAAUUGACAGCGAUCGCGGUUAGACGAAAACCACAAACGGGACACUUUGGGAGGCUCGCGAGCAUUGUGAACGUAAAACGGGGCUCAGCUAUAAUAUAACAUACGUAUUUAUGUUUGUUGGUACUGCUGCUAGGGGCGCAUCUAAUUUGACGACUCGAAAGUUUAUUCUGUGCCGCCAUCAAAAUCAAACUCGAAGGAACGACAUCCAAAUUUGCAAUAGAAGAUUGACUAAAAAGGCGAAACAAUUUUAUAGACUUUCAUUUCGUGCGAAUGAACAAUUAAUAUAUUCUAUAACAGAAUUGACGUUCAAGCAAAGCUGAAAUUUCCCGAAGAAAAGAAGUCAUCAAGUACAUUUGAUGUUUGACACAUGUACGUUUGAUGUUUGUUUGGAGUAUGUGUUUGAAUAUGACGAAGGGGAUGUGUCUCGACGCAGUGCUAGCGUUACUUUUAGAUUUACAAAAAGACGAGGAUAUUUCGGUACUACGGAAAUUUUGAAUAAUGCACCUCUGACUUCACCUAUCCACGAAUAACAUCUAAGGAAAAAAUGCGUAGCAUUGUUUACGUCAGACGAUACACGAAAAUAAUAGUUAUUAGAUGACAAAACCAUUAGAGCCGACACCGACACUAUGGAAAUUAGCGCAUAUUAUGAUCGAUUUGCACAACUUUUCGGAAAAGUAGCUAUUAGCUGUAAAUCAUAUUCGAAGAAGAAUGAUGGAAACGUGGCUUAACCUAUGAGCUUUUUUAGCAAAACUUGCUUGAUUUUCAUCUUAAUUUGAAGGAGCAAAAAGACUAGGAACUGUAAAGUUUAUAAAUACUUCUGAACGUUUCUAAGAAAACAAAUACAUAUGGAUUUCCGUACGAAUCUGCGAGCAUAUGGGAUAGUUGAAUAAGUUGAAUAAAUAAUCGGUUUAUAGCGAAAGCAUAUGAAAACUCGCUGCACGCUAAAAUGUUCUUAGUGGAUACUAUUAUAUUAAUUUAUAUAUACGUACAAAUAAUAGCUAGCGUUUUUGGAAUCAAAUGUUAAUCAACUGAGACUUUCAAGAUAGCAAAAGUAUUGGAGAAUUUAUCUCUAUGCAGACAAGUCAGCAAUUUUGAUUGUGAGAAGUUAUAUCAUGAAUGUCUCCUCCAUAUUAAGAACUGUUGAUCUUUCAAUAAGUGUCCAGCUAAGGGUUCACAAACCUAUUGCAUCGAGGCCGGAAGAGCGUGUACGAAUUUACUUCCUUGUUGUUCCAUGCACCUUAAUUAAAUAUAAGUAGAAAAUAAUAAAGAACCAUUGUAUAUAA